ACGUAUGAAUAUAUAUAAUAUAUAGGUAUUCAUUAAAUUUUAAAGAAUUUUAUAGGAAAAGGUUAGAUUUGAAGUGAAUUUCAAUAAUAUUUAGUAGCUUAUAACUUACAAAUUAUUAACAAAUUUUUUGAUAAGUUGCAGCUGACUGUCAUAUAACUUUUUUAAGUUUAGUUUGCAGUCUCAAUUUCUCCGAGUGUGCACCAAGAGGGACAAACACAUGCACAGAACGGCAAUUUCUGCUGUUGACAUUCACAGUCAAACAUGCUUAAUUAAUGCCAGCAACGAAGCCAUCAGUCGCCAGCUACCAACCCCCUCCUUCCCCCUGUAACCAACGACCUUUUCUCGGCAUUUCGCAGUAAAUGAGAGCCGGCGCAGUAAGACAACAUUAAUGCGAACAUUAACAAAAACUGCUGGCGCUGCCUACUGUGCUCCCUGUACCCCGGUAGCCCGCUACCCUGGCCACUACUUGGUACUCUGCGCCCAGAACCGAGAUCGCCUGGCUCCCAAAAAUAAACACUCGCCGGCAUCAUCAUCAUAAUAAUAAUGAUACAUGGCCAAGUCGAAGUCGUAGCUCUCGAGUGAGUGGCCCGAUGGCACUUGAUGGUGCUCGUCUGGCUACCAGCUCCGCUCCUUGAUGAGCAUUUUCCGAUGAUGGUGCCAUCCCCAUUCCCAUCCCCACUCAUUCCCAACCGAACUCAGACUUUCGUUCAUUGUCUGGCAAGAUUCCCAUAAUUAAGCUCAAUCGAAUACAGUGGUUUAGGGGCGCCAUUUGAAAAGUUUACUCCUUGUCUCUAAAUACAUAUAUUUUAUUAUUAGGACAUUGCGUGCUUUGAUAGUGAUUAAAGGCUAUGAAUAGUGGUUAAAUAAUUUAAGUAAUUUAAGAGUUUUUUCAAUCGUUUAAUGGUUUUUAUAGCUAAAGCUAUUGUUAACUGUUCGAGCUAGGAUAUCAUUAAACAAAUUAUAAUAAAUAUCAAGAUUUUUCUGCUGUAUUUUUCCUAUAUUGAAUAUAAGAAUAUGAGCUAUCCUUUAUAUUACUACUUACUUUUUAAAGAACGAUAGUUUUGUAUCUUUUCUCAUUUCAAAAGCUUUUGCAUUGCUUAAUGGUAUUAACCCUUUAGUUUCAGUGUUCUGAAAAACUGCUUGCAUUGCACAAAAAUCAAUAAAAAAAACCUUGCCGAAAUGGCUUUCGCACCACUCCAGUUUAUCCGAUAUUGUUCGCCGGAUCGAAGAUGAUGCAGGCGGGGAUUGGCGGCGGUGGAACUGGAAACUGGGCGACUGGCGAGCAAUUAACGCUGAAUUGAUACGCACUGCUCGGAAGGCAUUGAACCCUCCUUCGUCCGUCCGGAACAGAAAGGCGCUCCAGUGCGUCCAUUUAAGCGUUGGCAUUAAGACGUAAUUAAAACAACGCCAAAUGGGAGCGGAUCACAGGACCCCGUUCGUCCAGGAGCAGCCAGGGGGAGGGUGGAGUUUGGGGGGGUUGUGGGGCAACAAGGAGUCAAAAGAUUAUUUGUAUUUAAUUUCAAGUACGGCGGCAGGAAGGCACUGCUGCUAAUGCUUCUGCUUUUGGCCUUUCUUUUUGCUUUCGCUUUUGCUCAGAGACAGUUUCUUCUUGCCGUACAUAAAACUCAAUUAUAAUUAAGCAUUUAAGUGGAAACGAGCGAAGCUGCGAGCAAAUGAAGCGAACUCCGCUCGAGUGAAGAGAGAACUUCCACCAUGUUUCAACUUGAUGACAAGGAUGCCACCAAACACGCCUCCCGCCCCCAGCGACCCCGCCCAUUUUUAUUAGUGGUAGCCAGCGGCAGCACCCUAAUUGCUAAGAGCGCCACUCAAAGUUUCGGCAGGAUAAGGAUAAGGAUGGGGAUGGGGAUAGGGAUGGGGAUAAGGAUAAGGAUGAUAACUCGAGCAUGAGGCGGUAUUUAAUUAUCGUUCAUCGCUCAUCGCUGCCCAUUUUAUUGGGAGCUGCACUGAGAAGAAUUUCGGUUGCUUGCUAACUAGUAUGUUUGUAUAAAUAUGCUAGUUAAAGGUUCCUAAGCUUUCUGUGCGCAUAGGAAAUUACUCAUUAACAAUUUAAGCAUCUCGGCUUGCAACAAUUAAGCAGUAACUAACUUUCUCAGUGCAUCACAUUUGGCCUUUACCAUUUGCCAGGAUAUUGUUACUCCAAUUCCAGUUGCCAUGGCAGUGGAUUAAUUGUUACGUAAACCCGUUUAAUUUGCAGGCUGCAACCAGAAGCGAAAAGUAUCUCAAUUAACGAAAUCGUCGAUGAGGUCAAAAUAUCAUGGCCAUCUAUGUAUUUUCCGGCCAAAUAGGUCAGCGCCAUUUGCAAGAUAUUUAUUUAUAAAACUCACUCGCUUUUUGUAAAUAUAUACGACAACUGACAACUGCCCAAUGGUAAAUGGUAAAUGGAAAAUGCGGAAAGAAAAUGAACGGUUUGGGGGAUGUGAAAUUUUAAUGAACUUUUAAACGUAAUGAAAGUAAUUUUCAAAUUGCAAGCUCACAGAAAGUGGCUAGUGAGAGGGGGGAGGGGCGGGCAUGCGGCUUAACUUAUUUUAUUUUUUUUUUGUGCCCCAGUGAAAUUCAAUUGCGGCAGAAGUCGAGCGCUGGCAACUUUUGUGCGUCCUUCAGACAGUCCAGGCAAUACCAACCCAUGCCCACCCACCCAAAGAGAACCCACCAGAUAGCCCAACCAUUCCAAACCUGGCCAAAAAAAAAAACCCACUGGGCCACUCGAAAUGAUUUCGAGAAAUGGCAUUGAAUGUAGCAUUUAAUUUGUGCGCCACAAGCGGCGGCGAUGAGGAUGAAGUUGUCGGUGGUCCUUGGCCAGGUCCGCAGCUCGGCUCAUGGCUGCUAUUUAUAACUGUUUAUUUGCCGUGUGCCAUUCCCGAUGCACUGCGAGAAAAUGUUUGCAAAAUAUUUAAUAAUUUCUGUAAAUUCAUAUCAUAUUUGGCAUAUGGUUUGCCAUUUCUAUCUAUUUAAAAGGUUUAUGUUAUGAUUUUUAAGUAUGCCCACUAUUUCUGCGAGUGCACUUGCAGCUUGGGCUCUGUCUGCCACUGAAAGGGAUUAAUUAAACUGACAACUGACGUCUGUGGGUGGCCAUCGCCCCCUGCGAAUCCACAGUCGACUGUCUUUGAUGCCCGGAGUUCGGCAUAAUUAGUUAAAUGUGCUGCCUGGCCAUAACAAUGCGAAGAGCUGGCCAACCAACACACCCGCCCGCAACUCGUUUUGACCCUGGCAUUUAGUUUAAUUUAAUAUAUCCUCCUGGCCAUAGAGAUCAAGGCUGGCGAUGAAGAGAGUCGCUAAUUGCCAAAAUAUGUAAUAAUUAGCCGCGGCGAAAAUGUGAAAUAAAAUUAAUUACGUGUGCAAAUCAGCCAAGGAUAUCUAUCCAUCCAGGCGGUUGCUUACAUUUAUUUGCAGUUAGUCAUUUUGGUUGUGUUUGCCCCAAGCACACACACACACACACUAUGUGUGUAUUUUGUAUCCUUCCCCAUUUCCAUCAGUAAACAGGCAAAAAAGCUACUGACGCUCAUUUGCCAGCAAUUAAGCGCACAGAAAGAGAUGGAGACAGUCACUUGAAAUGGCGCCAUCUGAACUUUGUCGAUAUGCGAAUGUAUCUACAGUGGAUACUCUGUAAGUGGAACCUUUUUGGGCCAGCCUAUACUUAUUCAUACUUUGAUUCUAUACUCAUUAUUUAUACUUUCAUUGGGCAUUUUAUGCGAAACAAUUCAUUUUAGAAACAAUUUUAUCUAACAUUGUUAGAUUCGCACAUUUGAGUAGCCACUGUGCUUGUGUGCCCUCAUCCCCGAAAGCGAAGGAUUCCAGGAGCUCGAGCGCGCGCAUUGUGCAAACUUUUCGGCUACAUGGCGGCGCAAAUUAGUUUUUCCGUUGCCAGGGAAUUGGGUCGACCUGCUGAUGAUUGAAAAAUCCUUCAGUUGCGGCAAUGAAUGCGCCACAAGUUAUGCAACACGGUGCAGGAGGGAUUCGUUAAUCCUGCGGAUUAUUGAAACAUACAGCGCGUUGUGCCCAAUUAAAAUUGUAAUUUGAUGUUGCAAAAACCUUUUGGAGUCAACCGCAA
rnacentral:sRNA from 1 species